rnacentral:lncRNA from 1 species
GGCCGGGUCUGGUAGGCGGCCACGGGCGGCUGGUUGGGCCCAGGGUACAGCCCGCGGGGCGUCGGGGGCGGCCGGGGCGCCCGGGGCUGCUUGGUGGGCUUGGGCUGCUUGUUGGACGUUUUGUACUCAACCGAGGAAGCGGUGAAAUGGAAGGAGGACAGCAUGGAGGAGGGCUUGGUGGGCCACGCGUUCUCCUUGCUGGAGGACAGCUGGGGGAUGCCCAGGCUGGCUUCCACCUCGGAGUCGGACAGCAUGGGGCACAGCUUGCUCCGCUUGAUUUCCCGCAGGUCCUUGCCGUGGAAGUGGAAGGGGGUCUCGCAGGUGAUGUCCCCCACCAAGGCGGUGUAGGGGAUGCGCUCCAGCCAGCUCUUCAGCUGCACGAUCUCACACGUGCAGUUCCACGGGUUCUCCUCCAGCUGAAUCUCCAUCAGGCUCCUGCCAAUGUGGUCCAACAUCCCGCGGUACGAGAGCACUUUCAACCUGUUCCCGCGCAAGUCCAAGUGGGUUAAAGACACGGACUUAAAUAGAUAUUCCAGACUUUCCAAACCCAGGAAAGUGUCGUUUCUGAAAAUGUCC